ensembl:lncRNA
GUUCUAGUUAGUUAGCUAAUAACAUUGAUUUAAAGUAUAAGCAGUUAUUAUAAAUAUGUAUUUAAUCUACAUACACUUACUGCCUUAGAUAAUGUAGGAAAAAAAGUGCGUAAUAUUAAACAUCACUGUUAUCAAAUUUCAGAUCACAAAGGAGCUGACUGGCCAUGGCAGGGGGACAGCUCUUUGGGUGACCUCCAUUGACAACGAGGUUGGCUGGAUCCAACCAGUGUCAUGACAGUGCAGGAGUGGCUGGGACUGGACAGGAUGGCGUGAUUGAGCGGUACCGCAACGCAGCUGUUCCACACACAGUCCUGCUAUACAUGGACUUUAGCUGCUGCGUGAGUGAGGGGGCGAGCAAGCUGCAGACCAGGUUUGCGGAGUGGCCAGACCUCCACAGGUGUCCCAGCCUCUCCUGAUGAGCCUGGGGCUGUGGAUGACUCUGGCGUGCCAGGCAUGGACCGAGUUGACAGCAUGGCAGAGUAUCUGGUGAAGCUGAGGAACCAGCAGAUGGGAUCUCAUCCUGGAUGACUACAGGAGGAUCAGGCGGCGCAUUCUGGCCAAUGGGGCUGUUAUGCAGCAGACCACCCUGCAGCUGGUGGAUGUGAGCCACACCACACAAGAG